rnacentral:tRNA from 2 species
UUCAUUGUUAAGAAGGAUUCGGUGGGCAUAUUUCUAUCUCACACUAAGCCGGGAAAUUAAAAAAACGAUAAUCAAUCUGGAAAUC